rnacentral:tRNA from 1 species
UGGCGGGUAGCUCAGUGGUAGAGCGCUAACAUCCUUGUUCGCCCCUUGCCUGCAAAGGCCGAAGAAUUGAGGGUUAUCGAUUUGGGUUCGAGAGGUCGCAGGUUCAAAUCCUGCUCCGCCACCCA